rnacentral:rRNA from 1 species
CCCUUAGAUGUUCUGGGCCGCACGCGCGCUACACUGAUGCAUUCAACAAGCCUAGCCUUGACCGAGAGGUCCGGGUAAUCUUUGAAACUGCAUCGUGAUGGGGCUAGAUUAUUGCAAUUAUUAAUCUUCAACGAGGAAUGCCUAGUAAGCGUGAUUCAUCAAAUCGCGUUGAUUACGUCCCUGCCCUUUGUACACACCGCCCGUCGCUCCUACCGAUUGAAUGUGUUGGUGAGGAGCUCGGAUUGGCAGCAGUUGGUGGUUCGCCACCGGCUAUUGCUGAGAAGUCCUCCAAACCGCCCCAUUUAGAGGAAGGAGAAGGCGUAACA